rnacentral:rRNA from 1 species
UACGUAGGGCGCAAGCGUUGUCCGGAAUUAUUGGGCGUAAAGAGCUCGUAGGCGGUCUGUCACGUCUGCCGUGAAAACCCGAGGCUUAACCUCGUGGCUUGCGGUGGAUACGGGCAGACUAGAGGUAGGUAGGGGAGAACGGAAUUCCCGGUGUAGCGGUGAAAUGCGCAGAUAUCGGGAGGAACACCGGUGGCGAAGGCGGUUCUCUGGGCCUUUCCUGACGCUGAGGAGCGAAAGCAUGGGGAGCGAACAGG